rnacentral:lncRNA from 1 species
UUCAAUCAAUUCAAUUUUCCAAAAAUAGGAGACGUUACGCAUUCUCUCUGUUCCUAAAGCUUCUUCCAUCGUUAUUUGAUCAGAUACCCUAAUUAUUUGAUCAGAUACCCUAAUUCUUCUCUAUUCCUUAUUGAUCUCAAAAUUCAAAACCUGUUCUCUCUACAUUUUUUCUCGCCGUUCUGUACUUUUCAUCAUCAGAUCUGUGUUCUGAAAUUUUAACAUGCAUUCUAUUAUCAACAUAAUAUCUCUACCUUUUCCACUUCAAACCCCUAAACUCAAAGGCAUGAACUAUCCAGGUAUUUUUCGGCAUAUUUCAUGAUGUAAUAUGAGAUUCCUCUUCGUAUCCUUUGUCCGUCUUCAAACCCUAGAACGUGUCUUUUGUGAUUUGUGAUCCAAAGUAACAAGGCACGUUGUUUUCUUCAAACCCUAAAAUCGAUGUUAUUUGUUUAAGCUCGAAGAUCUGCCAUCUAUUUUUCAAUCAUUUCUAAAAGGUGGCAAGGGUUCUCAAGUCACUUCAAAGACCAAUUGCCCUCGAUUCAAAGGAGUUUGCUGUGAAAGAUGACUUUGUUGAUUAUUCAAUGUCAAUUCGCAUCUUUUUUUGUUGAAUUUUAGUUUGAGCUCAGGUAAUUAAGUCAUGAGUUGUGUUGUGUUGUGUUGUGUUGUGUUGUGUUGUGUGUUUCUAUCAUUUUAUAGUCCAGAUGGAUAUCAAGACUUAAGAGGGCUAUAGGCUAUUGCUAUUAUUUUUAGGUUAUGUAAUCAUAAACGAAAUUUCUUCACCAAGUACAUAUCUCACAAAUACAACUUCUAAUGACGAUUUCUAAGAGACCAGGUGUGGCCAGAGCUAGAGAUUGCAAUGGAUGA